UACGGAGGGGGCUAGCGUUGUUCGGAAUUACUGGGCGUAAAGCGCACGUAGGCGGCUUUGUAAGUUAGAGGUGAAAGCCCGGAGCUCAACUCCGGAAUUGCCUUUAAGACUGCAUCGCUAGAACGUCGGAGAGGUGAGUGGAAUUCCGAGUGUAGAGGUGAAAUUCGUAGAUAUUCGGGAAGAACACCAGUGGCGAAGGCGACUCACUGGACGACUGUUGACGCUGAGGUGGCGAAAGCGUGGGGAGCAAACAGG
rnacentral:rRNA from 1 species